AUGUCGCGGUGAAUACGUUCCCGGGCCUUGUACACACCGCCCGUCACACCAUGAGAGCUGGUAACACCCGAAGUCCGUGAGGUAACCGUAAGGAGCCAGCGGCCGAAGGUGGGAUUAGUGAUUGGGGGGAAGUCGUAACAAGGUAGCCGUAGGAGAACCUGCGGCUGGAUCACCUCCUUUCUAAGGAGA
rnacentral:rRNA from 1 species